rnacentral:rRNA from 1 species
GGGAAUCUACCUUUUGCUACGGAAUAGCUCCGGGAAACUGGAAUUAAUACCGUAUGUGCCCUUAGGGGGAAAGAUUUAUCGGCAAGAGAUGAGCCCGCGUUGGAUUAGCUAGUUGGUGGGGUAAAGGCCUACCAAGGCGACGAUCCAUAGCUGGUCUGAGAGGAUGAUCAGCCACAUUGGGACUGAGACACGGCCCAAACUCCUACGGGAGGCAGCAGUGGGGAAUAUUGGACAAUGGGCGCAAGCCUGAUCCAGCCAUGCCGCGUGAGUGAUGAAGGCCUUAGGGUUGUAAAGCUCUUUCACCGGAGAAGAUAAUGACGGUAUCCGGAGAAGAAGCCCCGGCUAACUUCGUGCCAGCAGCCGCGGUAAUACGAAGGGGGCUAGCGUUGUUCGGAAUGACUGGGCGUAAAGCGCACGUAGGCGGACAUUUAAGUCAGGGGUGAAAUCCCGGGGCUCAACCUCGGAACUGCCUUUGAUACUGGGUGUCUGGAGUGCGGAAGAGGUGAGUGGAAUUCCGAGU